rnacentral:rRNA from 1 species
CCUACGGGAGGCAGCAGUGAGGAAUAUUGGUCAAUGGUCGGGAGACUGAACCAGCCAAGCCGCGUGAGGGAUGAAGGUACAGAGUAUCGUAAACCUCUUUUGUCAGGGAACAAAGGCGGGGACGCGUCCCCGGAUGAGUGUACCUGAAGAAAAAGCAGCGGCUAACCCCGUGCCAGCAGCCGCGGUAAUACGGAGUAUUCGAGCGUUAUCCCGAUUUGUUGGGGUUAAGGGGUGCGCAGGCGGUCUGUUAAGUCAGCGGUAAAAGCCCGGGGCUGAACCCCGGCCCGCCGUUGAAACUGGCAGUCUCGAGUUGGAGAGAAGUAUGCGGAAUGCGCGGUGUAGCGGUGAAAUGCAUAGAUAUCGCGCAGAACUCCGAUUGCGAAGGCAGCAUGCCGGCUCCACACUGACGCUGAGGCACGAAAGCGUGGGUAUCGAACAGGAUUAGAUACCCGAGUAGUC